rnacentral:tRNA from 1 species
CCACCCUUAGUGUAAUGGAUAUCACGUGAGAUUCCGGUUCUCAAAAUAGCGGUUCGAUUCCGUUAGGGUGGA